rnacentral:lncRNA from 1 species
UAAACUCUCAUAGCUUUGUCUUAAAGACUAGAAUGAAAUUUUAUUUACUUUCUAUUAUUUUAUUUUAUUUUACUUUUAAGAGAUUUUAUUUUAAGUAAUCUCUGCACCCAACAUGGGGCUUGAAUUUAUAACCCUGAGAUCAAGAGUCUCCUGCUCCACCAACAAAGCCAGCCAGGUGCCCCGGGACUGAAAUUUUAAAAUGAAUUGGAUGGCUUGUUAAAGAACUGAAAUAAAUGUAUUUUCAUGACUGCAUGUGACUGAAAAGUUAUGAAUCAGUCUGGGUAUGGUUUCAGGAGCAGGAGACAGGGCUUGACAGAGUGUUGUUAGGGAGCAUUUACUGGAAACAUUUCUAUCAUGUUUAUGUCUAGAGGGUACAGACUCUUCAUCUAAAAAAUCUUUUAGUGGCACACCUAAUUAUUAUCUGUUCUUGGCCAACCAACCCAGAAGAACUAGUCCCAGUUCUUGAGGGACUCCUGGCCACAGAAACAGUGGGAUAUAAAGCAUUAUUGAUGAGAUAACAGACUCCAGUUUUGAAAAACAAACCUUAAUUUACUGAGCUUGUCAGGCAAGGGAGCUCUGCAUUUAGAAACACAGUCUCUCCGAGCAGUGCUUGAACGGAGUUUAUAUAUAUAACCGGGAGAGCACAGGCGGUUCAGAUGAACUCGGACAGAAGUGGUGACAAGGACACUGAUUGACUCAUAGAACAAGGCAGGGUGGCUUUAACACAUUCAGCAUUAGGUCUGUCUUUGGUUGAAGCUGGUUUAUUUUUAUGCUGGCCUUGUAGUUCCUGAUGUGAUUUCAAACAGCAAGCUUUCUCAAUACUGUAUCCUUGAUGCUGACAUGAUUUAAAGAACAAGAUUCUAACGGUUAUGUCCUUGAAUCUUCUUGCUAUUCUACUUUUCUAUAAUGAGCAUAUUCAUACGUCAAUGGUGUAUUCGAAAAAACAACAACGUGGGCAAAAGCAGAACCUGGUGAUUUGGGAAAUGUGGGAGAUGGAUGAGUUAAAGAUAUUUCAAGGUUUCACCUAUGGAGGUGUGAAUUGACAGGAAGGGUUCAGGCCACCCAUCUGAAGGAAGAAUGUGCCGGGGUCUAGUAUGAGGUAAGUGUUUGCGGUCAAAGAAACCACAGCACCCUAAAGUCUUCUGGGAGCUGUUAAGAACUGUUGUUAUAUUGUGAUCAAAUUAAAUAUGGUCUUAGUGGGUCUUAUCAAAGAGGUGUUAGUAUAUUGAAAAAAGGAAAACAAAAUAGGUUGAGAAUGUAGUAAGUUCCAGCAGAAAUAAGCAAGGCAGCAUCCACUAGGAAGGAAUCAGGAGUCUGGGACAGCAUCUGAGAUGGGUGUGAAGAGAGCUUCCUGUCAUAGUUGCCACAACACAACUCGCUUUCCAAGCAGAAAAUGGGCUGGGUGACUCAUAUGACCUAACUGGCUUCUUGUAAAGUCUACAAGCAUUUUAGAGUAUGUAGCCUAAAAAGGAAUCUUUCCCCUUUACCCCUGCUUCUAAUUGCACUCCCUAUUAAUCAUCACUGUUACAGUUUGGUGUAAAUGCUUCUAGACAGUAUCUUGAACAUUCAGGCUCACGUAUGGACACAUGCACCUAGAGAAGCACACACAUGCACAAUGACACAUAUGCAGAAUUAAAGCACAUCUGUAAGUGGAGGUUCACUGUUACGUGACCAUUCUGAGUCUUGAUUGAAGGCUGUAUCACACCAAGCCUAGUUCCCCUCUUUAGUGGAGAAUUUCUGGGCAUUUAUUUAUUUAUUUAGUCAGUCUUGCAUUUUUAAAAAAAUAUUUUAUUGUCAAAUUGGUUUCCAUACAACAUCCAAUGCUCAUCCCAACAGGUGCCCUCCUCAAUGCCCAUCCCCCACUUUCCCCUCUUCCCCACCCCCCAUCAACCCUCAGUUUGUUCUCAGUAUUUAAGAGUCUCCUUUGGUUUGCCUCCCUCCCUCUCUGUAACUUUUUUUCCCCCUUCUUCCCCUCCCCCAUGGUUCUCUGUUAAGUUUCUCAGGAUCCACAUAUGAGUGAAAACAUAUGGUAUCUGUCUUUCU